AGCGAGAUGGCGCAGCUGGUAGCGCGCUGGGCUCAUAACCCAGAGGUCGUCGGAUCGAAACUGACUCUCGCUA
rnacentral:tRNA from 4 species